rnacentral:rRNA from 1 species
UACAGAGGUGGCAAGCGUUGUUCGGGAUUACUGGGCGUAAAGGGCGCGUAGGCGGCCAUCUAAGUCAGACGUGAAAUCCCCCGGCUUAACCUGGGAACUGCGUCUGAUACUGGAAGGCUUGAGUAUGGGAGAGGGAUGUAGAAUUCCAGGUGUAGCGGUGAAAUGCGUAGAUAUCUGGAGGAAUACCGGUGGCGAAGGCGGCAUCCUGGACCAUUACUGACGCUGAGGCGCGAAAGCUAGGGGAGCGAAUGGG